CACCUGGUUGAUCCUGCCAGUAGUCAUAUGCUUGUCUCAAAGAUUAAGCCAUGCAUGUCUAAGUAUAAGCUUAAACGGCGAAACUGCGAAUG
rfam:Perkinsus marinus ATCC 50983 gcontig_1104296232242, whole genome shotgun sequence.